UACAGAGAUAGCUCAGUUGGUUAGAGCAUGAGAUACUUAAUCACAGGGUCGAGGGUUCAAGCCCUACACUGGGCAAAA